ensembl:scaRNA small Cajal body-specific RNA 16
CAGGGCUGGGGAAGGGCUGCUGGGUGGUGGGGCCAGCGGGCCCAUCCUCGUACCAGCCAGCCUCACCCGCGCCCGAGAUCAACCCCCAGGCAGGCUCCGUGCUGGGGUUCAUCCUGUGCAGUAACAGGUGUGAGCAUUCAUGCAGCGUUUUGAUGGUCAUGUAUGAUACUGCAUACAAAA